GGGAUAGGGGGGCGAGCGGGCGAGGUAAGAGGGAGGGGGUGAGCGUGGCUCGGAAUGACUGGGGGGAAAGGGGGCGUAGGCGGUGCAUAGAGGCAGAUGUGAAAGUCCUGGGCGUAACCGGGGGGCUGCAUUUGAUACGGGUGGGCUUGAGUGGGGAAGAGGGUCGUGGAAUUCCCAGUGUAGAGGUGAAAUUCGUAGAUAUUGGGAAGAACACCGGUGGCGAAGGCGGCGACCUGGUCCUUGACUGACGCUGAGGCGCGAAAGCGUGGGGAGCAAACAGGAUUAGAUACCCUGGUAGUC
rnacentral:rRNA from 1 species